GAACGGUUAGCUCAGUAGGCAGAGCACUCGCACGCAAUGCGAGAGGUCGUGGGUUCGAGUCCCGCAUCGUUCA